rnacentral:rRNA from 1 species
GACGAACGCUGGCGGCGCGCCUAACACAUGCAAGUCGAACGAGAGAGAGGGAGCUUGCUUCCUUGAUCGAGUGGCGAACGGGUGAGUAACGCGUGAGGAACCUGCCUCAAAGAGGGGGACAACAGUUGGAAACGACUGCUAAUACCGCAUAAGCCCACAACCCGGCAUCGGGAAGAGGGAAAAGGAGCAAUCCGCUUUGAGAUGGCCUCGCGUCCGAUUAGCUAGUUGGUGAGGUAACGGCCCACCAAGGCGACGAUCGGUAGCCGGACUGAGAGGUUGAACGGCCACAUUGGGACUGAGACACGGCCCAGACUCCUACGGGAGGCAGCAGUGGGGAAUAUUGCACAAUGGGGGAAACCCUGAUGCAGCGACGCCGCGUGGAGGAAGAAGGUCUUCGGAUUGUAAACUCCUGUUGUUGAGGAAGAUAAU